rnacentral:rRNA from 1 species
UUGCGGUUAAAAAGCUCGUAGUUGGAUUUCUGUUGAGGUUGACCGGUCCGUUUACUCUUCGGAGGGAAUGUGAUCAUGGCUCGACCGAGACAUUUUCCGGAUGUAGCUGUUGCACUUCAUUGUGUGCUGUGAAAUCCGGGCUUUUACUUUGAGGAAAUUAGAGUGUUUCAAGCAGGCGUAUGCCUUGAAUACAUUAGCAUGGAAUAAUAUGAUAGGACUUUGGUUCUAUUUUGUUGGUUUCUAGAACUGAAGUAAUGAUUAAUAGGGACAGUCGGGGGCAUUCGUACUUAACAGUCAGAGGUGAAAUUCUUGGAUUUGUUAAAGACGAACUACUGCGAAAGCAUUUGCCAAGGAUGUUUUCAUUGAUCAAGAACGAAAGUUAGGGGAUCGAAGACGAUUAGAUGCCGUCCUAGUCUUAACCAUAAACCAUGCCGACUAGAGAUUGGAGGCUGUUUAUUUGACGCCUUCAGCACCUCGUGAGAAAUCAAAGUCUUUGGGUUCCGGGGGGAGUAUGGUCGCAAGGCUGAAACUUAUAGGAAUUGACGGAAGGGCACCACCAGGAGUGGAGCCUGCGGCUUA